rnacentral:rRNA from 1 species
AUCUAUGGGCACAUCAUCCUGAAUGUUCCUAGUCUUGGAAGCUAAGUAGGGCUACUCCUGGUUAGUACUUGGAUGGUAGAAGAGGUAUUUAUUUGUCAUGUGGGAACAGAAGACUCCCAUGUGCA